rnacentral:lncRNA from 1 species
GUUAGUAUAAACUAAAAUAAAUGACAAGUAUCAGAUGAAAUAAACAAGUUAGCAUAUGUAUAAGCAAUGCCUUAUCUACAUGUCAAAUGACCCAAGUUUAUUGAUGUAGGGGCAACCUAUCUAUGCUUAAAAGUACCAUGGAUGAACACUUGAUCACCCAUUAGUAGGUUUGAAGUAUGGAAGGUUCAAGCAACCCUAAACAAUACAACAUCAUGACAAAUAUAGACUUCAUUAGCCCUAAGAUUCAAAACCUCAUAAGUCCAUGGAAAAAUGUC